rnacentral:rRNA from 1 species
GAUGAACGCUGGCGGCGUGCCUAAUACAUGCAAGUCGGGCGAACGGACGAGAAGCUUGCUUCUCUGAUGUUAGCGGCGGACGGGUGAGUAACACGUGGAUAACCUACCUAUAAGACUGGGAUAACUUCGGGAAACCGGAGCUAAUACCGGAUAAUAUUUUGAACCGCAUGGUUCAAAAGUGAAAGACGGUCUUGCUGUCACUUAUAGAUGGAUCCGCGCUGCAUUAGCUAGUUGGUAAGGUAACGGCUUACCAAGGCAACGAUGCAUAGCCGACCUGAGAGGGUGAUCGGCCACACUGGAACUGAGGCACGGUCCAGACUCCUACGGGAGGCAGCAGUAGGGAAUCUUCCGCAAUGGGCGAAAGCCUGACGGAGCAACGCCGCGUGAGUGGUGAAGGUCUUCGGAUCGUAAAACUCUGUUAUUAGGGAAGAACAUAUGUGUAAGUAACUGUGCACAUCUUGACGGUACCUAAUCAGAAAGCCACGGCUAACUACGUG